AGGCAGUUUCUUUACCACAGCGCCACUGCACAUCAGGGACUAUGAGCCCAGACCUUAAUGGAUGCUUAACGAAUAUUUGUUAAAUGAGGGCACGAAUUCUAGAGAUGGUUACAUAUUUUGCUUCCUGAAAGACCUACAACUCUUCUUCGAGAGGAUCUGAUUAUCUCCCUGUUAGAGAUGGGGGAGUUUGAAGACCAGAACGAGGUUAGCAUCUUUCCGGGGUCACAGAGAAGCAGAGUUGUGAGCUGAGCUUCAGCCUUUGGAGCAUGGCCCAUUCUGCCAGUCACCCCAUCCUCACUACCAUUAUCUUUUCACUUCUGAAGGUUACUUGGUUUCUUGAGUCAAGGAAGGUUUUGCAAGAAGGAAGAUCCCCGAGCUUCCUGAGUGUGGCUUGUGAUAGCUAGUCCUGCCUAGCUUCUGGCCUGUCAGCCAAAUUGGACGCUCUGCUCUGGACCAAUAAGGAGGCAGACGUGGUGGCCGAUGAGCAGGAGGAUUCCAGGAUAGGCUUCCAGACCUCCAGGGUCUGAAAUACCCCAGAAGUGCAGCAGCAAUGACCAUCAUGGCAAGCAGGCUUGCAGGCAGCCAAGGGACCAGCCAGUUGCUACUGGUGGGGGCAGAUAUCAAAACCCCAGGUGGAGAAAUUAACUACAUGAUGACCAGACUGUGUCCAGGACAUGAGCUGCCACAAUUUCAAGGACUGACUGCAAAGAAAUGGGAAAAAAUGGACCCCCAAACUGAAGAUUAACAGUACCUAAAACAACCAAGAUGAUGCCAGUCAGACCACUGAUGACCAAUUUGAAGAUGACUGUCAGGGAUGACUGUGCUCUUUCUGCAUGUAGCCCCCCACCCCCAGCUCUGUCUACAAAAGCUCUCACCCGCUGCUUGUCAGAGGGGGAGUCAGCCUUUGGACAGAUGUCUGCCACCCUCUCCCACAGUUGCUGACAUCUGAAAUAAAGCACUUUCCU